AAGCGGAGAGUUCAAACUUAAAGAUAUAGUGAAUAGUGAUAAGAACUUUUCGUUUUCAACUACUGAUAAGAAAAUUACCCAUAAACCUUAUAUCAUAGAAAAGUCUUAUAUUAUAUUACGUAUGUACCUAUAAGAUCUAACAACUUCCAAUCUUACACACAGCUGCAGAGUGCAGACAGCAGACACUUUACUUAUUUAUACUUUAUUAUAAGUAAUUAAGUAAUUAAUUUAGUAUUUUUUUUUUUAAUAGUAUAAGGUCUAUGGCUAUAAUAGUAUACAUUUUUUAGUUAUAAAUCAUGGAAAAAUUAUUUUUAUCAUAAAAAUAAUUAUUAUAUUUUAUUUUUAUAGUAUAAGGUCUAUGGGUAUAAUAGUAUACAUUUUUUAGUUAGAAAUCAUGGAAAAAUUAUUUUUAUCAUCGAAGUAUAGUGAAUAAUAUAUUAAUAACUUACAUCGUAUACUUCAACAAAGUCGUACAACAAUAUAUUUUACAUACUGAAGAAUAAUUUAUUUUGUUUAAGUACUUCCUACGUUAAAUCUUACAUAAUAUGGUUUUUUAUUAUUAUUCUGUAUUUUAAAACUUUAACAUUACGUGAGUGCAAUUUAAUUAAUUCUCCUACAAUAGUCAAUGGCAGCUUAAUUAUUUCGCCGAGGUACACAAGAUGGCAGAUGCUGAAAAAAAAGCAACAAAAUUAAUGUGUUUGCAGUGUUUCACUGAUAGGAAGCGCCACCUAUCGACCGACGUUUACGGCCGGCACUUAACAAACCGUCGAGGCGCGUAGCGGUGUCUUAAAAGCUCCAUAAACAUUUCCAUAGUUUACCAAAAGUUUUCUUAAUGCGUUGGACCGAUUUCGGGUUAACGUCGUUGUCGGAUAACUAACGAAAUCACAGGAAUCGUACGAGUGCGUACCGUUUUGAAGAGGUCGAUGUAUGGCAUAUAAAGGCUGUACAAUCGAACGUCGAGCAUACUUACCUGGCGUGGAGGUCAACCGUGAUCAUUUAGGCGGUUCCUCCAGGGCGAGGCCGGUUCAUUGCACAUGGAAAUCGGUUGACCCCUGCGAGUAUCCCUAAUGUGGAUACCUCGGGCGCAGAAUUUUUGUUAGCUGGGACUGCGUACGCG